GGUGCAUUCGUCUAGUGGUCUAGGACGCCGCCCUCUCACGGCGGAAACUCGGGUUCGAACCCCGGACGCACUA
rnacentral:tRNA from 6 species